GAUGUACGCUGGCGGCGUGCCUAAUACAUGCAAGUCGAACGCUGAAGGAGGAGCUUGCUCUUCUGGAUGAGUCGCGCACGGGUGAGUAACGCGUAGGUAACCUGCCUGGUAGCGGGGGACAACUAUUGGAAACGAUAGCUAAUACCGCAUGACAACAGUUAUUGCAUGAUAACUGUUUAAAAUGGGCAACUGCUCCACUACCAGAUGGACUUGCGUUGUAUUAGCUAGUUGGUGAGGUAACGGCUCACCAAGGCGACGAUACAUAGCCGACCUGAGAGGGGGGACGGGCACACUGGGACUGAGACACGGCCCAGACUCCUACGGGGAGCAGCAGUAGGGAAUCUUCGGCAAUGGACGGAAGGCUGACCGAGCAACGCCGCGGGAGUGAAGAAGGUUCUCGGAUCGGAAAGCUCUGUUGUAAGAGGAGAACGAGUGGGAGAGUAGAAAGUUCACACUGUGACGGUAUCUUAAGAGAAAGCGACGGCUAACUACGUG
rnacentral:rRNA from 1 species